rnacentral:pre_miRNA from 1 species
UUAGCUCAUGUUUGUAUGGAGUUAAAACGUUUGCCUGCGUUUGCCGCUAGGGGCGCUGUUCCAAUUGCAUACAAAAUUGGCUUA